CCCAUCUAAAUUGAUUUAUAUAUUGUACAAAUAUGAAGAUUAAUACACAAACAAGCUAGAUAAAUUAUUUAAAAAUAAAUAAAAAUAACCAAAUCAUUACCUUGAGCAUUGAAUAUAACAUUUCUUGGAUCCGGUAGGAUUAAACUGGAUGAUUGUAAAUGUUGUGUGAAGUCAAGACUUUUGUUCUCACCCUACAUGAAAUAAUAAUAUCAAUAACACGUACAUGUACGAAGAAAAUUUAAUCAUCAAUAUAUAGUGAUCAUUAGAAGUUGUGAAUAUGAUAACAAUAAUGGAAUGUUGUGCUUGUUGAGCUGCCUAAAACACAGUUGCACCAUCUCCAGGAUUACUUUGUUGUGCCUAGGUUCUCUUCCCUUUGGUUGAACUACAACUUGAAUGCAUCACAUCAUUACUUAUUAUACUUUGUUUAUGCCAAAAAUAAUGUUAAAAUAAUAAAUAUAAAUAUAUAUCUAUGGUAAUAGAAUAUUGAACAUACAUUCCCUUUAUUUGAACUCGACUCCAAAUAGCACUCCAUAUGAAGUUUCUCAGGAGCGCCCUUUCUCUUUGCUCAUUUCAGAUCAUUUACACUACCGCUACCGCAAACAGUAUCUGUGAUGCCACGCAGUCAGAUGCUAAAUGAGUAAUAUACAUGGACAGGAGAUUACUCCCACAAACUGACUUUGAUGUUGCCAUCUGUUUAUGCUGAUCAUCAAUCCAUUCUAAUAUAGAACCGGAUUUGACAUCAUUAUUUGCAGCCAUUCUGCUAACUCUGCAAAUGAUUUAAACAUCUUCUCAUCUCUCAACUAAGAAGGGAUACUAACCAAUCUAUCAUAGUUCACUGCAACCCUCGUCUAGGCUCAACUGACACCUCUCUGCUAUUUUCAUAAAAUAUAUCCGUUGAUAGUGAUUUGACAUCAUUUGGAUCAGUACUGCAAUAGCAUGCCUGCAUACUAUUCCUUGAAACUCGAAUAAGUUGCAGCUGCAUAUAAUUUCACAUUUGUCCCUCGAUAUUGAGACAAAAAAUUGUUUUCUUAUAAUGAUCAUCAUUUAUGACAUCCUCACUUACCUCGUACUUCGUCCCCGAACAUCCAUCCGAUGUAGAUAUAAGAUUGCAAUAAACCUUGCUAGUGAACUCAUCUUAAACUUCCCUGAACUUUGAAAUUGUGUACACUACUUGGAAUUACUUAUCUAUUUCAUAACUCAUCGCACAAGGUAUCGCUUGUGAGAAAGACUUGAAGCUCCUUCUCUACCUUAUUUCUCAAUGGACUUCAUACUGUUCGAUAAAUUAUUUUAACGAGGUCUUCGAAUGCAUAUACCCAUUGAAGAACGCAAUCAUACUUUCACUUUGUUGAGUAGUUGACAUACAUGCCCAAAAAGUGGUUCUCAAAUAGCAAGGAACCCAAUGGCCGCUAUUAUCAUAAAGCCUUAACAACCAUUCAUUAUAUAUAUAUAUAUAUAUAUAUAUAUAUAUAUAUAUAUAUAUACACGAUUUUCAUUAUAUUUUGUAUNNNNNNNNNNNNNNNNNNNNNNNNNNNNNNNNNNNNNNNNNNNNNNNNNNNNNNNCCCUUAAAAAACAUACAUUAUAUAUAUAUAUAUAUAUAUAUAUAUAUAUAUAUAUAUAUAAAUGAUUUGAAUUGUAUUUUGCAUUACCCUAUCUUGAUUGAUAAUAAUGCCAUGGAGUGCUUGGCCUUGUACACAAUGCAGCAUAUGUGUCCUCGUUUGCUAUAAGACCACAUCCUAGGACUGCCAACUGCCCGUGAUUAUUCACUCCAACAAAAGGGGCAAAAGGCAUAUCAUUUUUAUUCGUAAGUUAUGUAAUAUCGAAGGUGACAACAUCCCCAAACUGUCAUGCUUGCUUACUCGUAUUAUCUGUCCUGAAAAUAUUUUUUAUGCCCGACUUAACUCUUCAUCCAAACUAUACUAAAGUAGACCCUUGAGCACCAUGCUAGCAUAGUCGAAAAGUAUGAUUGUACUGCUACAACGUCACCUUCUCCAAGUCGUAACCAUGAUGAAAAUAUAAAAUGGCAUAUUUUCCCCCCUUAAUGCUUAUGUUUUUAUAAUUAUUUGGUGCCUAAAUGUACUCAUUAUUCUUAUAUUUUGAUUUAGGAUACAAAUGGAUGAAUAUGACGAAAUUUAGAAGAAACAAACAAAAAGGACUAAAUUGAAAGAAAAUAAAAGUUCAUGGACCAAGGUGCAAAUAGUCAAAAGAUGACUUGGAAGACAAAAUGAAGAUGUGGAAGAUUUGAAGGCCAAUUGAUAUAGGACAUGAAGUAUUGGAAGAAGUAGGAACGAGAAAAGAAAUCAAGAAAAGUGAAAAUAAAAUUUGAAGACUAAAAUGCAACUGUGAAAGAUAUCAAUGCUAUGCGGUCGCAUACGGUAUCUUAGAGACUUUGAAGGUUGAAAUUGUAUGAACUAUGUGACUGCAUUGGUUUGUACUAUGCGAUCGCAUAAUACGUUUUCGAUGGUAAAAUCCUGAUUUUCGAAAUUGAUUCAGACUCCUAUGGAAACAAAUCUGGGAACGUCUUUUAAAACCUUACGAUCAUCAUAAAAGAUAGAGAAACACCUUCCUUUCCCUCUUCUCUCUUUUACUCUUUCAAUUUUCAUGUGUGGCUAAACUUGUGUACUUGGUCGAAGGAAACUGAAGCCUCGAAAUCAAUAAAGCUGUGAGAUCUACAUUGUUUUCAUCAUUCAAUUUAUGUUUUGAGUAUCAAAUGUUCUUUUGCAUAUAUUUUCAUGAUUGCUGCAUUUAAUUACUAGGAGGCCUACUAGCUUAUUAUUUUUUCAAUCUAAUGCUGGGUUAAAUAUCAAAUCUGUAAUUAUUUGAUCCAUCUAAAUUGUAAAGCAAUUAAUAUUUGAUGGUUUGCUACGUUAGAAAUUGUUAAAUCCGGGGAAGAAUGAUUAAGUAAAUUAAAUACAACCGCUUGUUCUUGUGUUGCUUAGUUUCAUCGAUUUCUCUAAUUUUUAAGGCUCUUUCCAGAUUAAACAUUUAACGCUUGUCUUGGGUUGUUUAGUAAUUAGGGUUAACUGGAUUGCUUGUUUUCUAAUUAACUACAAUUAAGGAAGGACAUGAAGAUAAUUGAUGAUGGAUGUUAACUUAAAUCAAAGUUUGUUCUUUUGAUUAAUUUCGGUACUUUAAUUUGAAUUUUUUGUACUUGCUUCUUUGAAAAAUUGUUUUCAUUGUACUCAAAACCCCCUUGUCCCUAUCUACGUAGCAUAAAACUAAGAUAGAUGCUCUCGUGGAAACGAUCCUUACUUGCAAUACUACAUAUAUUUUUAGAAGUAUAAGUUUUACUUUUGGUUGCCUGUGACAACACCCCAAACCUCCUAAUUUUUCCAACAUAGUUUUAACAGUCCUUCUCCAUACACAUCAUGUUUUCAUAUCUACUUGCUUAAAUUACUGCAGAGUUAGAACUUUUGUGUAACAAUAUUCCUAUAAUAUCAUUUACUUCAAGCCUCGAUUUCACCUAUGUACUCAAUUCUCUAUUGCAUCGAUAUAGUCUGGACUUCGAAGGACUUGUUUUAUGAUUGUGGUCUAGCUGUAUUGUGUUAAUUCUCCAAAUUCCACAAAUAUCUGAACAUGCAAUCAGUCUGACUUUACGUCCACUCUGCAUUGUAGCAUGUGGCUUCAUAAAAUUGCUAGUAUAACUGAUUUUUUUUGUUCCUUUUCACGGCUACAAAAAAAAACGUAACAUAUCGCAAAACUCUAUCAUCACCGUUCUUCAAAAUUAUUUUUUCAUUAGAAAACCUAUGCCGUAUGCAUAUAUUUUAUAAAACUCAAAUAUUUCAUUUCCAUCCUUCAACUUCAUGACCACUUUAGGCACAAUCAGACCAUUGCACAAUCAGACCAUGCCCUCCCAACGUUUUAUCACCCAAUAAUUUCAUAUUGUCCGUAACAUUCUCAUUAUCAAACUCCAACAGCAUAAUGUCUUCGACAUAAUUCACAAUUUCUUUUCCUGUGACAAUAAACCAAUACAAUGUUAUUUAUGAUUCUAGUCAUCUAAUAUAUAUUUGAUGCAACAUAUUACUGUCCAUUAGGAGUUGUAAGGAGAAAUAAAAUAACAAAUAUAAGCUAAAUUUCCACUUAAAUGUGAAGGAUACAUACCUUAACGUAUUCAUUCACUGUCUAUUGGGAAUUGUAAGGAAAAAUUAAAUAAAAAAAUUUGAGCUAAGUUUCAACUUAAAUGUGAAAGAUAUAUAGAUUUAGCCAAACCAGCAAUUGAAUCCAUUCAAAAAUGGAACGAGCAAUUAUAUUUCGUUCUUGUAAAAUUUGUGUUUCUUACAAUAAGCAUUUGUGCGACAUAUUAACAUAAAAAUCUUGAUCGACUUCUUCUCUUAACAAGCUUUACAUUUGAAAUUAGUUCGCAAUACUCGUGUAUGAAUUUUUUUUUAAAUACAAGAACAUAACUUAGAUUAAUACGUAAAGGGGCAAUUGAAAAAUUAUUGUGCUUUAAAGAUUUACCUUCUCCUGUCCUCUUCAAGUAUCAGUGGAAGUAACAGUGGCUGGAGGUCGAAGAU
rnacentral:lncRNA from 1 species